AGUCGAGCGGGGAAGGUUGCUUCGGUAACUGACCUAGCGGCGGACGGGUGAGUAAUGCUUAGGAAUCUGCCUAUUAGUGGGGGACAACGUUUCGAAGGGAACGCUAAUACCGCAUACGUCCUACGGGAAAAAGCAGGGGAUCUUUGGACCUUGCGCUAAUAAAUGAGCCUAAGUCGGAUUAGCUAGUUGGGGGGGUAAAGGCCUACCAAGGCGACAAUCUGUAGCGGGUCUGAAAGGAUGAUCCGCCACACUGGGACUGAAACACGGCCCAAACUCCUACGGGAGGCAGCAGGGGGGAAUAUUGGACAAUGGGCGGAAGCCUGAUCCAGCCUUGCCGCGGGUGUGAAGAAGGCCUUUUGGUUGUAAAGCACUUUAAGCGAGGAGGAGGAGCUUCAGGUUAAUACCCUGGAUGCUUGGACGUUACUCGCAAAAUAAGCACCGGCUAACUCUGUG
rnacentral:rRNA from 1 species